rnacentral:rRNA from 1 species
AGGAUGAACGCUAGCGGCAGGCUUAACACAUGCAAGUCGAGGGGCAGCACGUCUUCGGAUGGUGGCGGCCGGCGCACGGGUGCGUAACGCGUAUACAAUCUACCUUUUACUGGGGCAUAGCCCGGGGAAACCCGGAUUAAUAUCCCAUGGUACCAUGAUAUAGCAUUAUAUUAUGGUUAAAGCUUUGGCGGUGAAAGAUGAGUAUGCGUUCUAUUAGCUAGAUGGUAAGGUAACGGCUUACCAUGGCUACGAUAGAUAGGGGUCCUGAGAGGGAGAUCCCCCACACUGGUACUGAGACACGGACCAGACUCCUACGGGAGCAGCAGUGA